UACGUAGGUGGCAAGCGUUGUCCGGAAUUAUUGGGCGUAAAGGGCGCGUAGGCGGUCAAUCAAGUCGCAUGUGAAAUACCAGGGCUCAACUCUGGGGGGUCAUGCGAAACUGAAUGACUUGAGUGUAGUAGAGGAAAGCGGAAUUCCUGGUGUAGCGGUAAAAUGCGUAGAGAUCAGGAGGAACACCGGUGGCGAAGGCGGCUUUCUGGGCUAUAACUGACGCUGAGGCGCGAAAGCGUGGGGAGCAAACAGG
rnacentral:rRNA from 1 species